UACGGAGGGUGCGAGCGUUGUCCGGAAUCAUUGGGCGUAAAGAGCUCGUAGGCGGCUUGUUGCGUCAGCUGUGAAAACCCGCAGCUCAACUGUGGGCUUGCAGCUGAUACGGGCAGGCUUGAGUUCGGUAGGGGAGACUGGAACUCCUGGUGUAGCGGUGAAAUGCGCAGAUAUCAGGAGGAACACCGGUGGCGAAGGCGGGUCUCUGGGCCGAUACUGACGCUGAGGAGCGAAAGCGUGGGGAGCGAACAGG
rnacentral:rRNA from 1 species